GUCCACGCUGUAAACGAUGUCAACUAGCCGUUGGUCCUAUUUACAGGAUUAGUGGCGCAGCUAACGCAUUAAGUUGACCGCCUGGGGAGUACGGCCGCAAGGUUAAACUCAAAUGAAUUGACGGGGCCCGCACAAGCGGUGGAGCAUGUGGUUUAAUUCGAUGCAACGCGAAGAACCUUACCUACCCUUGACAUCCAGAGAAUCUGUUAGAGAUAGUGGAGUGCCUUCGGGAACUCUGAGACAGGUGCUGCAUGGCUGUCGU
rnacentral:rRNA from 1 species